UACGGGGGGGGCAAGCGUUGUUCGGAAUUACUGGGCGUAAAGGGCUCGUAGGUGGCCAACUAAGUCAGACGUGAAAUCCCUCGGCUUAACCGGGGAACUGCGUCUGAUACUGGAUGGCUUGAGUUCGGGAGAGGGAUGCGGAAUUCCUGGUGUAGCGGUGGAAUGCGCAGAUAUCAGGAGGAACACCGGUGGCGAAGGCGGGUCUCUGGGCAGUAACUGACGCUGAGGAGCGAAAGCGUGGGGAGCGAACAGG
rnacentral:rRNA from 1 species